GUCACGACUUAUACUGAAACAAUUCUGCAUUUUCCAUACUGAGAAGAUUGGAGUUUAAGUGCAUCACGUCUAAAACGCGUGUUUGGUUGAAACUGUAGAAAUAGGAGGGAGAGUUAUAACAGAAAAAAAUCCGGGGUCACGCAAUUAAUCAUUACUCUGAUAUUCAACUACCCUCCCUCCACAGCCCUCUCUUCGGCAGUGAAAUUCGCGGUCAAGUAAAAACAUUGUCAGUGUCAGAAUCUAGAGAGAGAGAAUAUUUCCAUCCAGCGGAUCGGUGAUGGCUUCUUCCUCAGAUCGCGAAACCUUCGUUUACCUUGCCAAGCUCGCCGAGCAAGCCGAACGCUACGAUGGUAAAUCACUCACCCUCGCACAAUUUUUUGGAGAAAUUGAACUUGUGUUAGCCAAUAUCUUGUUCGAGAUACGGACCGAUGAUUAAUUACUAAUUAGAAGGGGCUAAGUUGCAAUCAGCCUUUUAAUUUCGCUUUGUAAGUUAGUAUUUGACUUGAGCUUUAAGGAAUUCAUUAAUUUUUUACUGUAUGUGAUAUAUUCUAAUUUUAAUUAUUCUUUUUGUUAGAAUUGAGAUUUUUCGUAGCUUCUAUUGAACGAAUUAUUUGAAAUCUUUCAAUAUUUUUUUCUUCAAUUUGCUUGUGUCUUUGGUGAUUCAAAUAGUUUAUUAGACAAUUGGAUUUCAUUUUUCUCGUAUCUUGUGAAUAUUGCAUUUUCAUUUGUUGUGUAAUCAAUACAGAAUGAAAAAUAAGCACAAAUCUGAUUUUCUUACAGAGAUGGUGGAAGCGAUGAAGAAGGUGGCAAAGAUGGAUGUGGAGUUGACAGUGGAGGAGAGGAACUUGCUGUCGGUGGGGUACAAGAAUGUGAUUGGGGCUCGGAGAGCUUCAUGGAGAAUCUUAUCUUCGAUAGAACAGAAGGAGGAAUCCAGAGGCAAUGAGCAGAAUGCUAAGCGGAUCAAGGAGUACCAGCAGAAGGUGGAGUCAGAGCUCACCAACAUUUGCAGUGACAUCAUGACUGUCAUCAAUGAGCAUCUCAUUCCUUCAUGUACAGCUGGCGAGUCGACCGUGUUUUACUACAAGAUGUGAGAAUGGUCUUACCCCUCAGUUAUGUUUGAGUGUGACUUUUUGUUUUAUUAGGAGGUUGAAUGGUUUCUGUUGUUUGCAGGAAAGGGGAUUAUUAUAGGUAUCUUGCAGAGUUUAAGACUGGUAAUGAGAGGAAAGAAGUUGCUGAUCAGUCACUGAAGGCAUAUGAGGUAUAUUCUUAAUGUUUUGGGAAUCCAUAAAGCAUAUUGCUUGAGUUCUAUUAUCAGGUAACGUAUUCCACCCGACUUGAUAUAUUGACUGAAAUCCUUUCUUCAAGAAUGCAUAGAAGACUGGAUGGGCAGGACAUAAAUUUGUCUUGGUGGAGAGACAUCAUGUUUGUGGCUCUCGAUGUGUGCCUGACUGUGGUACUUAGGUUUUAUUCAUCUAACAGGAAUUCUAAUUUGUCCUCCAUUCCCUUUAAAGAUAUCGCAAGAGACAUUAUUAAGUUAGGGAAACAAGAAUAGGUCUUAGAAGCAUAUAGGAAUCUUUGCCCAAGAAAGUUGAAAUUCACUAUGUGCCGCUAUCAGUGUUGCAGUGUUGAUCACUCUAUAAAAAUACGUUCACCCAGCUCGUAGUGAUACUAAAGGACAAUAGCAUUAAUUUUAUUUAGUGUAGAGGAAGUAUCUACUGCUUAAGGAUUUGUGCAAAGGCAAGGAUGUGGUGCUUCUUCUCAUCUUUCAGAAAGCUAUUAAAUUUCAUUGCACAAGAUGAUAAAUGUAUUCCAAAUGUUUGACUCAAAAUUACAGAGGUGUACUUGCUUGUAUUUUCCUUAUCAUUCUCAUUCCUUGACUUCUCGAGUUGAUUUGCCUCCGAGCUCAUGAUUUACCACUUUACAUGUCUUGAAAAUUGGGAACCCUGGAUCUUAAUUUGGUAGAGUAGCUUCAUUGCUUCUAUGAUAGUGUUACUUUUGCAUUGUUUGAAAAGAAUUCAGUGAAGCCAUAUAUCAACUUUUUUGGGAGCGUUUUAGGAGCUCUGGCUUUGUGGAUAUCUUAAUGAACUUUCUUCAUUGUUUAGUGAUAUCAAUUUACUCUGAGUCUCUGUCAGUGUGCGUGGGCGUUUUUGUGCAUGCACAUACUUACUUGUACUUCUGGAAUCUGCUUGCAGACAGCGACCACCACAGCCGAGACUGAGUUGCCUCCGACACAUCCCAUUCGUUUGGGUUUGGCAUUGAAUUUUUCUGUCUUUUACUAUGAAAUUAUGAAUUCACCCGAGAGGUUUGU
rnacentral:lncRNA from 1 species